GGUAAUACCUCUCCAACGCUUUCGAUGCUUCUACUUCUUCAGGAACAAGACAAGAUGGCGCCCGAUUUGUCUCACCCGGAAGUAAAGAAUAAUAACAUCCGUUCGUCAUCUGAAGCCAUACCAUCUCUCAUCUAGGGAACCGUGGCGGGGGCGGGGAAGUCUGGUUUCCGUCCUGCUUCUUUCCUUCAACUACAAGAUGGCUUCUCAAAAGGACUUAUGCAAUGCCAUUCCUCAAAGAGGGUACGUUGAUUCCACAGUGUUUUUAUAUGAACAACGUUCAAGUGUCAAAAGUAUCAAUUUCCAGGCUAGGAGCUACAAGUUACAAGGAUAACAGAAAUGUUCCAAAGAUAAAGUGUUUAUUAACUACAUCCUGGGAAGUGCCUUUCCAGAGAGUGACAUGAAAACUUUUGCGUGACAAAGUGCACGAAGUAUCUAAAUUAUUUCAUUGGGAAUUGUCAUGCAAAAGAAAUAGCAAAUUACCGUAGAAACAAAAUAGUAAGAGCACAGCUGGAUGGAUAAAGAUACAGAUGUGAAAAUAUAGAUGCCCUUUGCUGAAAAUUCAGUUUUCCUUAGCACUAGAAACCCAGAUACUCCUGAAUUAGCAUUAUAAUAAAAGUCCUCACUAGCUAACCAUCUGCCUUUCCUCCAAUCCACGGACGUGGCCCUCAAAAUAAAAUUUUAUCUUGUGAGAAACCUUCAUUGAUUACACCUGACAACACCAUGACGCAGGUUCAUGAGGAUGCUACUGAAGGCAAAAGGAAAUCCCUAUUUCUCUGACCCUUUCCCUAAUUUCCACUUAGCACAAAUAAGACUACUCAACAGUCUGAUUUUAAAAAUCACUGUAUGGGCCGGGCGUGGUGGCUCCUGCCUGCAAUCCCAGCACUUUGGGAGGCUGAGGCAGGCAUAUCACUUGAGGUCAGGAGUUCGAGACCAGCCUAGCCAACAUGGUGAAACCCCGUCUCUACUAAAAAUACAAAAAUUAGCUGGGCGUGGUGGCAGGUGCAUGUAAUCCUAGCUACUAGAGAGGCUGAGGCAGGAGAAUUGCUUGAACCCAGGGUCAGAGGUCGCAGUGAGCCGAGAUCUCCCACUGCACUCCAGCGUGGGCAAGAGUGAGUCUCUGUCCCAAAGCAUAAAAUAAAUAAAAACCACUGUAUGGAGCAAAAGAAGGACAUAUACCACAUGUUAUCAGUAAUCUCUGAUUCUGCUCUGUGAUUUUGUGCAUUUUCCAAGUUUUUUGCAUCAGGUCUGAUUUUCAAGUUAAAUUCUCUGAGAAACAUUCUCAUCAGAGGAAUGUUCUAUCUUAGAGAAACCCGAUUGUCCUAGUGAAACUGUCGUGUUCCUACUCCCUAUAAUCAUAUUGUAAUUGUUUGCUUGUUUCCCUAGUAAAGGUGAGGCAAUUUUCGGAUAAGGGUUUUCUCCCUCACCUCUGCCCUCCAAGUCCCCAGCAUCUGCUUUGCACACAGAAAUUUUUACAUAUGCUGUAUGAUUGCAUUAAUAUGUUCAACAAUGAUCCUAAUGUAGGCCAGUCAUUUUGGAAAUGCAUUGUGAAAUGGAGAGGAUUAUUAAAUACCUCACAUUUUGUUCCUUGUGCCAGUUUAAUGAGACACCCUCAGCAAUUGCUGUUUACCAGACCUGAAAAUGAAUUUUACAGUUCCAAUUCCAGUUCCCUUUCUCUAACCACCCUAUUCUAAGAGUUCCCCAUAACAUUAUGAUCUUACGGACACAUGAGGUAAGUAUAUGUAUUUCAACACAGAAUUUUCUAAGAAUGUGUGUUGUGGUGUUAAAUUUCUAUGUAAGCAGCUGUCAUGUGCAUGAUCUGCUACAGUUUGAUCAUCCUGCACCUGGAUCAUCAAAUGCUUAGUAGUCUUAUUUGACAGUCUUAUUUUACCAGUCUUACUUGACAAUCUGCUGUUAAUGACUAACAACCAGGGGACUUUAUAGGUUAAAAUUUGUAUUAACUUCCUCUGUUUUCAGUGUUUGAAGUAGAAAAUUUGGCCAACCACUGUGGCUCACGCCUGUAAUCCCAGCACUUUGGGAGACCAAGGAGGGUGGAUCACCUGAGGCCGGGAG